rnacentral:tRNA from 1 species
GCCUGGGUGGCUCAGUCAGUUAAGUGUCUGACUUUGGCUCAGGUCAUGAUCUCACGGUUUGUGGGUUCAAGCCCCAUGUCGGGCU